AUAUAAAUGGAUUAAAGAUAACAUCUCUCCCAAACUUCAUGUAGAUAAAGGAUUUGUGAACAUCUUAAUGACUAGGUAAGACGAAUGGUUUUCUACAUAUAGUAAUGUUUCGUGUACUAGAAAAGAAGCAGGAGACUAAGAGUUGUCUCUUGAGCAAGAAAACUGUUGGGUUCUAAUAAGACUUCUUUCUGUCCAGCUUCUUACAGUACAUUUCUAGUGAAGUAAACCCCCCCAGCGAUGAAACAGAUUCAUCCUCUGCUCCUUCCAAAGAACAGUUAGAGCAGGAAAAACAACUACUACUUUCUUUCAAGCCAGUAAUGCAGAAAUUUCUUCAUGAUCACGUUGAUCUGCAAGUCAGUGCCCUGUAUGCUCUUCAGGUGCACUGCUAUAACAGCAACUUCCCAAAAGGCAUGUUACUUCGCUUUUUUGUGCACUUCUAUGACAUGGAAAUUAUUGAAGAAGAAGCUUUCUUGGCUUGGAAAGAAGAUAUAACCCAGGAGUUUCCGGGAAAAGGCAAGGCUUUGUUCCAGGUGAAUCAGUGGCUAACCUGGCUAGAAACUGCUGAAGAAGAAGAAUCAGAGGAAGAAGCUGACUAAAGAACCAGCCAAAGCCUUAAAUUGUGCAAAACAUACUGUUGCUAUGAUGUAACUGCAUUUGACCUAACCACUGCGAAAAUUCAUUCCG
rnacentral:sRNA from 1 species